rnacentral:rRNA from 1 species
CUCCAGACUCCUACGGGAGGCAGCAGUGGGGGAUAUUGCACAAUGGGGGGAACCCUGAUGCAGCGACGCCGCGUGGGUGAAGGAGCGUUUCGGCGCGUAAAGCCCUAUCGGCAGGGAAGAAGGAGGACGGUACCUGACUAAGAAGCCCCGGCUAACUACGUGCCAGCAGCCGCGGUAAUACGUAUGGAGCAAGCGUUAUCCGGAUUUACUGGGCGUAAAGGGAGCGUAGGCGGCCUGCCAAGUCUGAUGUGAAAUACCGGGGCUCAACCCCGGGGCUGCAUUGGAAACUGGCAGGCUGGAGUGCCGGAGAGGCAGGCGGAAUUCCUAGUGUAGCGGUGAAAUGCGUAGAUAUUAGGAGGAACACCAGUGGCGAAGGCGGCCUGCUGGACGGUGACUGACGCUGAGGCUCGAAAGCGUAGGGAGCAAACGGGAUUAGAUACCCGUGUAC